UCGGCAACGGAUAUCUCGGCUCUUGCAUCGAUGAAGAACGUAGCGAAAUGCGAUACUUGGUGUGAAUUGCAGAAUCCCGUGAACCAUCGAGUCUUUGAACGCAAGUUGCGCCUGAUGCCACUAGGUUGAAGGCACGUCUGCCUGGGCGUCACAC
rnacentral:rRNA from 1 species